GACAGAGGAUGCAAACGUUGCUCGGAUUUACUGGGCGUAAAGCGCGCGCAGGCGGUCCUGUAAGUCGAGUGUGAAAUCCCGGGGCUCAACCUCGGACGUGCACUCGAUACUGCGGGACUGGAGUACUGGAGAGGAGAGCGGAAUUCCCGGUGUAGAGGUGAAAUGCGUAGAUAUCGGGAGGAACACCUGUGGCGAAAGCGGCGCACUGGACCACAACUGACGCUGAGGCGCGAAAGCUAGGGGAGCAAACAGG
rnacentral:rRNA from 1 species